UUUUUCUUUUGUUAUUUACUUAUUUUUGUUGAACGGAUUAGAUUGAAGUGAAUUAAAAUUAUUGAACGGUUUAGAUUGAAUCGGAUCAUAUCAAGUUUAGGAGAUUGUUAAGACCAAAUUACCCUUAAUGAUUUUGAAUAGCAAAGAACAAAAUCCAAAAUUGAAAUCAAAAUUGAGGCCAAAUUAGACAAAAUUUCAAUUUGUACUUCCCUUUUAAUAAUAAGAGGAUAUUGUCGUUAAAAGAUUUUGGUAAUUAAUGACGUCAUUAAAGGAUUUUGUUUUUGAUUAAAUUUUUCUAAUGGCAUUGUCAUGUAAUUAACUACAAA
rnacentral:sRNA from 1 species